rnacentral:rRNA from 1 species
UUCGAAAGGGGGGGACCUGACCGAGCAACGCCGCGUGAGUGAAGAAGGUUUUCGGAUCGUAAAGCUCUGUUGUAAGAGAAGAACGGGUGUGAGAGUGGAAAGUUCACACUGUGACGGUAUCUUACCAGAAAGGGACGGCUAACUACGUGCCAGCAGCCGCGGUAAUAA